UCUAUAAAUGAAGUUGGAGAUGGAAGAAAAAAAUGGACAGCAAAAGUAUUAGUAUGUAAUAAAUUUCCACCAAGAAUGUCAUCACGCAGCAAAUCUAGAUUUCAACACAUGAUCCUUAUUGAUGCUCAGGAAACACACAUACAGGAUGCAUUAUUUGAUGAUGUUAUAGAACGAUACAAAAACACUCUUAUAAUGCACAAAAGCUAUUAUAUAUCAAAUGCUCACGUCAAGAAAAUGGAUCCAAGAUAUAAUUAUUUGAAGAACAAAUAUGAGUGGAUACUUAAUAGGAGCACAGUGGUUGAGGAAGUCAAAGAACAAGAAGAUAAGGAUGUAAUUCCUUCUCCACCAGCUUUCUCAUUUAUCGCUUUUACCUCCUUGCAGCAAUACAUGGAUUCUUCUGCUCGAGUUGACAUCAUAGCAGUGGCGGCAAAUAUCCAACCAGCGAGAACCAUACAAACACCACAUGAAGCAACACGUAUACAAGAAAUCUACCUAAUAAAUGAUGAAAAAAUAGAAAUGUUGCUGACAAUAUGGAAUUCCAACUUUGACAAUGAGUGUGCUACUAUUGAAGAUAUUAUUCUCACCAAACCUAUCGUCGCAGCAAAGAAUCUCAAAGAAUCUCAAACAUAUUUAGUACAUAACAAAAAUCAAUAUAUAAUAAUUUUUUUAUUAUAUAUAGAAUGAACAAUAUUAUAGUAUUAAAGUGUUACUGUCUUUUAUCUUCUAUAAAAAUUACAUGCUCUUAUUCCUUCAGAAAUGUCAUUGGCUAAAAUUCCACAAGUUCUCUUCUUCUUGAACCUGAAUUGCCUGAAGUAGAUGCUUUAAAGCCUUUACAGAAAUGGUGUAUCGACAAUCAUUACACUUCCCAACUUCUUCAAAGUGGAAAAAUUCUUGCAUCUUCUUCUUAUAUUGUCAAACCACCACCAAAUGAAGAAAUAGAAUGAAUCAACUUCAUACAGAAUGCUGAAGAAAAGAAGUCACACUAUUGGAUUAAAGGCACCAUCUCACUUGACAAUUUUCACCAAAAAUUUUGGUAUAUGGCGUGUGAAAAAUGUAAUAGAUCUAUGGGUGCUGACUUUGAUGCUUAUUUCACAUGCAACUAUUGUUGGAAAGAUAAUGAGAAAAACAAAAAGGAAAUAGAAAUCAAACAAAAAGCAGUAGCAAGAUGUUGCAUCCAGAUCAAUAUGCAUGACUCAACUGCCACAUUACCUGCUACAAUAUUUGGAGAAAUUGCUGAAACUUUCUUAGAAUGUACCGCAAAAAAGCUGAUGGAUGAAACCACUAAGGAUGGAAUAUUGAGUGUUGAAAAUCUUAUCAACAUAUCCACCACAAAGAAGUAUAUCAUCAAGAUAAGACUUCCAAAUAUGAAUUUCGCCACAAAAUGGAGCAGAAGUACAUUGUCGAACAACUCCUUGAUAACAUCCAAGUACUUCCACCAAUUUAGUUCCAUGACUCUUCCAUUUCUAAAAUAGUUGCUUCUCUGUAAUAUACUUUUGGAAUGUAUAUAUUAUAGGAACUACCAAUUUGUAGUAGUUCUUUUGUAUAGAGUGAGAAACACUUGUCUCAGUUAGCUUUAACCUUUUGUUACUUUUACAUCAGCUGCUACAAUAAUUUUAGAAUAAAUUAUAAUAGCAGCUGAUAACUUUUCACUUUUAAAAAGGUUACUUCUCUCUAAUAUAUUUUUGGAAUGUAUAUAUUAUAGCAAGUACUACCUUGGAACAGUUCUUUUGUAUAUUUGUCUCAGUUUACCUUUAAUCUUUUCUUAUUUUACACUUACUGUGUUAUGUAAUUUUAGAGUAAGAUAUAUAUAUAUAUAAUUAGUCAGUUUGA